AUCGGAACCAUCGAAUGUUGCAGAGCAGAAUGCAAUUUUCCUAGCUAGAUUCAUCGAUCUCUAGAGGAAGAGAGCAGAGAAAUUUGCAGACAAAGAUACGGGAAGAAAGAAGAAGAGGAAGAGCUAAUCUGUGAUGACGACCAUAACCGUUGUUGCGUUGUAGUUGCAGAGCUGAGAUAGAACUCUGGAACUGGAAGAAAGAGAUGACUUUUUAUUUUUUAUUUUAGGUUUGGGCUGAAGUUGGGCCUCUUUUUUGUUCAAAAACAUUAGGCCUAAGUCCUAUAUAAAUGAAUUAUUACCCCCAAAACAACAACAGAUGGUCUAAAUAAGCGAAAUGACUAAAUCGAUUCCCUGAAAUAGUAAAGGCAAACCUUUUUCCUCACCAUUCGAAAAGUGAAGAAGAGGAGCAGGCAACAACUACUGCUACUAAUGCCACGAGGAAGAGGAAUAGACAGCGUCGCCAAUGAAGUGUUAUGCCGACUUCCGUUUUCUUUUCUGGUCUCAGAAUCUUCGAGCUCGAGCAACCUUCGACCAAAUUGGUGAGCGCAAUUCUCUUACUCUCUUUCUCCCUCUCUCUCUCUCUCUCUCUCUCCUUUUUUUUUUUGGGGUUCUUGUUCUUGUUCUAUUUUGUUGAAUAAUGAAUAUUGUCUGUAAUUUGUAAAUUAUUUAAUCACAUUCACAUGCACUGAUAAAAGGCAAUUUUUUAUUCUUAUUUACGAGUUAUGAUUUAUGUUUUGUGAGUUAUUAAGGAGAAUUGUGAUUUAUGAUAAGUAAUUUAUGUUUUAUGAGUUAUGAAUCUAUGAUUAUUGAUUUGAGAAUUUAUGUUUACGAAAUUAGGAUAAGCGAAAAAAAUUUAAUUUAGAAGAUUCAACUUGUGUGAAAAAAUACAAUUGAAAAGAUUUAAUAUUAUUAAAUCAAAUUUUAAUAAACGAGUUAUUGCGAUCGUUAAUUGUCGAUAAUAAAUGGCCAACAGUCAACAGUCAAGCUCCAUCCUAGUUGAACUUCGAUGUUGGAUUCACCCCUACUGUCAAGGAAGCAAAAAAUAUCUAAUUAUCUUCCUAUCAUUGUAUACUAGCCAAAUAAUAUAUGUAUAUAAUCAAGGACAACUCCCCCUAGCCCCCACACAGACUUGCCUUUGGUUAAAUUCUUGCUCAUCUAUGAAAAUAUUAUUUAAAGAGAUGACAAAAAGAUUAAAUUCUUGUAUGAUGAACAGUGCUACUGCAUCUGUGCUUUGCUUAGUUACAAGCUAAAAAUAUUCAAUUUAAAAUGAAGGCAUUUGCUGUGACUACAUUGAUCUCAAAAAAGACUAAUCAAAUUGUUCUUGAUGCAUGCAAUGGAAAUACCUUUUAUGGAAUCCGUUCAUAGGGACGACAAGUGCCAAUAAAUAAAGUUGGGAUAAAAGGGUAAAAAGUUGGGGAUGGCGGCUACAAGUUUUCUAUUCUAAUUGUUCAAUAAUUGUCAUCUGUGUUGUAGCUUAAAAUUAAGUUUUAACCUUUCAACAUUUAACCUAUUUACUUUUUUGUUUUAUUUACUUAAUAAUCACUUUUAACACAAUUAAAACAGCAUAAUUCAUGUUAUAACAUCUAUUUUAAUGAUUUAAUUAUGGGGUUGAUAUUACCUAUAAAAGGUGGUUACAUCUCUUUGAAAAGGAGCAUUAGAAUUACAACUUUGAAGAUAAACAAUAUAUAUAACUCUUAUUAUACUUCUAUAUUUUGGCAACCCGAUAAGAGGCUCGUUCACUUAUCUGCCUAUGGUCGUGCCCAUAGAAGGAGAGUCAUAUGGGUUUUAUCUUGCAGCUGUGUAGUGUCAAAAGAACCCGGACGAAGGGGAGGCAAUACAACUUUAGAACAGCGUUUUCGAUGUGACUCCCAAGGCUUGAUUUCUAUUCUCAAUUUAUAUUAUAUUAUUGUUGAAUUAUGUUUGUGUUGUCUAAUUGUUUAUGUUAAUUGAUUAAAAAAAUCUACAUACAAAUCACUAAUUUUCCCAACAAUCUAAGGUCGUGUUUUGUGAUUUGUGUGCGCGUUGCUUCAUUUUUAAAUUGGGUAAUAUUUCAAUAUAGAUUCUAGAGCACUAAAAUAUCUGUUUGUAUUUAGAAAAAUGAUUAGCCUGUGCUUUGCAUGGAAAUACUGGUAAUUGUUAAAUUCACAAAAGGAAUAGAAUUUAAGUAAACGUGUACCGAACGUUAAUAUUUUCAUUAACCUUUCUUCUCAUAAUACUGAUUUGAAGGAUUGGCACUUAUGUAGAAGGAAAAAUCAAUUUUGAGUGACGGAAUGUGAUUAUAUUUUAGAUUGAAAUAUGGCAUAUGAUAUGUAAUAUGUUUGGUCUAAAAUUGUUUUCAAUUGGUAAUGGAUUGAAGGAUUAAGGAGGCUACAAAAUAUGAGUUCUAUGGCUGUCUUGAUACACAUACAAAAUUAAUAUUUAGAAUUGAGGAAGAAUGAUAGUUCAACGGCGCCAGAUCUAUGGUUAUAUAAGUUGCUGACAUUUCCUAUGGCGUCACCACUACAAUUUGGGUGUUUUGAAUUGCUUGAAAACUAUUUACUCAUCCUAGUAUACCAUAUUCUAAUUCUUGCUCUAGCAAUCUUUUUUCCCGUGGUCCAAUGCAUCUGCCUUCAUCAAUAAGUAAGCUUUCUUAUUAGUGUGUAAAAUCACUUGUAUGUCUUCUCUUAGUAGCUAUUUGUGUUUGGUGGUAUGGUUUGUGCGAAUGUAUGAAAUAAGUA
rnacentral:lncRNA from 1 species